CUAGUAAUCGGGGAACAGCAUGCCGCGGGAAAUACGUUCCCGGGCCUUGUACACACCGCCCGUCACACCAUGGGAGUUGGUUCUACCCGACGACGCUGCGCUAACCUUCGGGGGGCAGGCGGCCACGGUAGGAUCAGCGACUGGGGUGAAGUCGUAACAAGGUAGCCGUAGGGGAACCUGCGGCUGGAUCACCUCCUUUCU
rnacentral:rRNA from 1 species